GGGGGUAUAGCUCAGUGGCAGAGUGCUUGCUUGUUAUGCACAAGGUCCUGGGUUAAAUCCCCAGUACUUCCA
rfam:Camelus ferus unplaced genomic scaffold scaffold459, whole genome shotgun sequence.